GACAGAGGCCUCAAGCGUUAGGCGGAAUCACUGGGCUUAAAGCGUGUGUAGGCGGAUGGGUAAGUACCUUGUGAAAUCCCACGGCUCAACCGUGGAACUGCUCGGUAUACUGCUCGUCUUGAGCCAACUAGGGGCGACCGGAACAAACGGUGGAGCGGUGAAAUGCGUAGAUAUCGUUUGGAACGCCGAUGGUGAAAACAGGUCGCUGGGGUUGUGCUGACGCUGAGACACGAAAGCCAGGGGAGCGAACGGG
rnacentral:rRNA from 1 species